rnacentral:lncRNA from 1 species
UGAAAUACCCCAAUCAGGAAUAUAUACCCCCCUGGGGUGAGUUAACUUUGGAAGAAUUCAGUUAUGAGCCUUACUCCAAAAAAUUAUCCAUUUUCCCCUACCGAUUUACAAUGCCACAUUUAUCAUGUAUUAAAUGAUCUUAUAUUUAUGAAUCUAUUACUAUACUUUGUAUUCUAUUCUAUUGAUAUAUUUGUCUACUUUUGUACCAAUACCACAGUUUUAAAAAAAUGACUGGUGUUUUGAUAUGUAGUAGAAAAAUAUCCUCGUAUUGUUUUCAUUUAGGGUGGACUGAACUGGUCCUGGCAGUCAGAUUCUGGCUCCAGAGUGGGCAGAAGAGAGAAACCACACCUCUUAUAAACCGUCAUCAAAGAUUAGCCCUGCCGAGAUGUGCUGCACCUAAUGAUGGCCCCUGGACCUGCAUACAGUAUUCCAGACAUAACCAAGAUUUCCAAGACAUCUAGACUUUAGACAUGGCUAUAAUUGCUAUGAAAUGCAGCUGUAAGUAUCUAAAUGUCUGGUUUGUGAAAUUGGUUCUCUUGCUUUGUCAUCUGCUGCCCUUGGUAAUAAUAUUCAAACUGGCUUUUUCUGAUUUUGGAAGGUAUAAAUACCCAUAAUGAAAAGGGCACAUAUAUUUUCUUUGUGAGCUUGAAGAAUGUAGAAGGUAAAAGAAACUAAUGAUGCAGGUAGAUUUAUCUUAAAACACUGUGUAUGGUUGGUUACGGUCAUGUCAUUAUCUUACCUCUGGACCUCUAGUUUUAUGAAAUAAAAACACUCCUUAUUGUUGAAGCUGUUAUUUUGGUUGGCUUUUCUGUUAGUUGUGUCUAAAAUUAUGCAGCUUCAAAUGUACUCUGGAUGAAACUAAUUAUUAACUGAAAAAGACUUUAAAAUAACUAUAUUUAGUAGUUCACAACAAUAUGUCUAGGCACAUCUUGAACGGAACCAAAGUAUGCCCGAACAUAUUAUUGUGAGAACAUAGCACAUCAACGGUCCAGAGAAAUUCUUCCAAGGUGUCAGAGGGAAAAGAUCCAAGUAUUUACAGAAGAUGACUGUCAACCUAGAGGUUUGAUACCCAGCUAAUUUAUCAUUCAAGAGGGAAGACCAAUUUAAGAGAUCUCAAGACAUACAAGGAUUAAGGAAUUUUACUAUCUACAAACGAUAAAAGGACUAUCCAAUAAGAAUCUAUUGGCAAAUUUAAAUGCUGAUGGAAGAAAACUUGGUUGUUGUUUACAAAGGUCAAACAAACAUAAAAACAACCCUCAAGGCAAUGAUCACAUAGUAAGGAGGGAAUGCUCGAUUAGUGAAAAAAUUGUACAAAAAUCUAUGUUGUGCUUAGGAGGAAAAUAAAAAUAUCAAAUAAUUUUAGAAUCUGUUGGAAACAUCUGUAAUUAAAUAUGCACAUUUAGGAGCACCUGGGUGGCUCAGUUGGUUGGGCAUCUGCCUUCAGCUCAGGUUGUGAUCUCGAGGUCCUGGGAUCGAGCCCUGCUUCGGGCUCCCUGCUCAGUGGGGAGUCUGUUUCUCCCUCUCCCUCUGCCCCUCCCCCUUGCUCAUGCUCUCUCUGUCUCUCAAAUAAAUAAAUAAAAUCUUAAAAAAAAUAUGCACAUUCAAAAACAUAAGAGGAACUGUGAAGAUAAUUGAGUAUGAUAUCUAGCUUCCAAAAUAACACGGGAGAAACAAACACUAAAAACACGUAAAGAGAUUUAAGGAUGAGCUAAAGGGGAAAAGCUGGUAAACAAAAACAAACAGAAUGGCUAGGUUCAGUCUGAUCAUACUGGUAAUCACAAAAAAAGGUAAAAAGUAAACGCAUUGAUAUCAUUUGUCAAAAGGCAUAAGUUAUCGGGCACUGCUCACACAGAACUGUAAGAAAACCACACAGGCUGGGGCGCCUGGGUGGCUCAGCCGUUAAGCGUCUGCCUUCAGCUCAGGUCAUGAUCCCAGGGUCCUGGGAUUGAGCCCCGCAUUGGGCUCCUUGCUUGCAGGAAACCUGCUUCUCCCUUUCACACUCCCCUUGCUUGCCUUCCCUCUCUCGCUGUCUCUGUCUGUCAAAUAAAUAAAUAAAAUCUUAAAAGAAAAGAAAAGAAAACCACACAGGCUGAAAAUAAAGAGUAUUCUAGAAAGAGGUGUUCUGGAAAAAAAAUAACCAAAAAGAAAAUGCUGAAGAAUAUCAAAAUAGAACUUAAAGCAAAAUCCCUAAGAAAAAAAGAAAACUGUAUAAUUUUAAACAAAUGAUCUAUUAAGAAAAUAAGACUCACUUUGUUAAUAUUACAGUUAUAAUAAACAAUGUAA